AGUACAAUAUUCGGAUUUGUCAGAAGUGGCGCGCCGAGCAGAUUUGUAAAAUGAGCCACAUUUUACAACUCUCAUUAAAUUUGAUUCCACGUCAAAGUUUUCUUCCGUUGCAACGCGCGGGCAUUUGUCCUAGUUAAUUUUUUUAUUUUAAUUUUAAUAAUAAAGUACGGAUUGAGUUUGUUGGAUUCACCGUUGCGGCAGUUUUGCAAAACAACCCUUGACUUUUAUGGAAAUCAACCCGCAGUCCAGAUAAAACUCAUUGAUCCCGAACCGGUAUGAGCGGGAGAAAAAAAAAAAGAAAAAAACGCACCCCUGCCUCUGAAUUCCCGAUCCCAUCUCACCUCCAGCGCGCCGCCGACCGCCGCCGAGCCGCCAACUCCGCCGGCGCACCUUCACCCUCUGCCACGCUGCCGCGCACCGCCGGCCCCUGCUUCUCCGCCUACUCAGCCGGCGCGCCAACCGGCUAGCCCUACCCCAAGUGUCCACCCCGUGGCCUUCCAUCACCGACAACACUCGACGCCACAGCCGGUGCCGGCUCCUGCCGCCCCUGCUACCACGGCGCCGCCGGGACUCCUCCGUGUUGCUUCGACCUCUGAUUGGUUCCCCCAACCCUGCCGGUUUCUUCACCAACAACUUCUUCCCUGCGCGCUCGGCCAGCCGUCGGACCUGUCUGCCUGGCUCCCGUGGCCAACAUCGCCGCCACUCUGUUGUCGCUUCCCACUCCAGCGGCUCGCCUCCACCUGCGUGCCACCCCCCGACCUCCCCUUUCCGCGUGUUUUCUCAUAGGAGAGGUAGUGGAGGGGACACACAUAAGCUGCUGUCCAUAUGCACAGUGGGUGGUAGAUUACAAGGACAUUGGCACCUGCGACGUUGUCUGCUUCUUUUGUUCUUCUUAAUUAAUUCUCUAGCUAUUCGCAAUGAUGCAAUUUUGGGCUCUGUGUGCUGCUGUUGCUUAGCUUACAUAGAACAAAUAAUAGAGAUAAUUUUUCUGCUUAUAUAUUAAUGUUAUUUUCUGUUAAUUACAUUGCGUCAUAAAGAUUCUCUUGCUUGGUUCUGUUUUUUAGUGUUCGAUUGGUUGAAGGUGCUAAGAUGGUGAUACUGUUACAAUUCGUUUGAGUUGUGCUAAUCUCCUCACUCCUCGCCCUGAUGGAGGGCACCAUUUAGCAGCACUGCAACCUGCAGUUCAUGCCCUGCUCACCAUGACCCGCCUUCUCAUCUAGGGUAACGUAGAUUGUCUCCUCGCCAUUGAAGUUCAUGUGUCCUCUCGACCCAGUCUAUGCAUGUGAGCUGAAGAAUUGUUUGCAUGUUCACAAUUGGUGAUUGAAGGGUGGCCGAUGGUUUCCCUAAUUUUCUUGUAGUUGUUUGUUGGAUAAUCUUUAAAAUUAAGAUUGUGGAGAGCUCUAAAUUACUGUAAAACUUGGUCUUCUUCGUGUUGCUGCUUACUGAUUCCAUUAUGCUAACUCAUUUCCCUAUUGCGUCUGAAAGCAAAAAUGAUUGUAUUGAUUAAUUAUCUUUACAGGUUUUCACCGAGUCAGUCGUGAUUCCAUUUUUAAAGCAUAGUUGGACUGUUGCAGUAUUUGUUUUCAUCACGUCGGAGACUCAGAAAUGUUUGCUUGAAGAGGUAAUGUAGUAUUGACAGAGGCUCUUUCGCUUAAUUUAGGCCACGUUAUUGGGCUUGGUUGAAAAUCACAUCCAUGCUUAGUGGCUUACCAUUUAUUUAGUGCUUAGUUAUCUAUCUGUCUUUUUUAUUGCUACUAGCAGACAUUCUGGCAAUUUUUUCCAACCAACGUAUUGACAUUUUCAAUACCUUUCGAUUGGCUAUUUCUUUGAAGCUUAAAUUAUGAAAGGAUAAAGGAGAAAUAAUGUGUAGCAUGGUAUGGUGUAUAUACCAGUUUCAUGAUGUGUGUAUCCAAGCAUAUAAAGCACAACUAAACUUAUUUAAUAGCUUCUACGUUUUCUCUUGGGGAAGGAAAGAGUGUGUGGAUUGUGAUGGAAAUGCUGGUCCAGAGCAAGUUUGAGUAGUAGCUGCAAAUCUGGCACACCGAAGUCCCCUGAGCUCCCCUCUGGACUAAGCCAUUGUUCUACUUUUGUACUGUCAAUUUUAGCAGAAAUUGGUUGUUUGUGGAGACACAAGGUGUAGUAAUAGAUGAUUAGAGAACAACAAGUAAAAACUAUGUGCUAAAACUGAUAGAUUUAGCUCCAGGCAUUGCAUUCUUUUCCUGUGUUGUACUGUUCUAUCCAUGGAUUAUAUAUUUGCAGUAGACUGUAUGCAUACGAAUCUUAUGUUGCAUUACUCUCACUUCGUUGUUAGUAGCCCUCUUACAAGAGAUUGCGGUAAGUACCCGAUCCGUGUUUGGUGUCAAACAAUAUCCAAUCGACUACAUGGUUUCUCAGUCUCAAGUUCACAAUUUCUGCAUCCUUUGAAUUGUAUACAAUAAGAUACAGAAGCAGUAGAUCCCCAACCGGCACAAAAAGGCAAACUUGAUCUAUUUAAGUUCAUCAAUACAUCUAUUACAACUUACAAGUUACCCUAGCUAAGACAAGAAAAUCAAGGACCGAUGUACUUCUAACGUUAUUUCUUAUUUACAUCAAAUUAGAAGAACAUUGAUGGAACAUAUUCUUUUAUACUCUCCUUGCUUGAGUUGAUGGAGUAUAGUAGUGCAUUUGGCUGAGAUGAAGCACGGGAAUACUUCAAACUUUUAAGAGCUUGAGGAGGAGGGGCUUGUUCAAGCAGUUCUUGCCUGGUGGAAGAAAUUUUCUAUUAUUAAAUGAAAUCUUUUACUUACAAAGAUUGUUGUACAAAUUUUCUGUUGUUAUAUGGAAUUCAUUAAUUACAAUUAUUUUAUGGGUCCAUGGAGUUGCUUCUUUGCAUUCUAUAUAAAUGACACUGACAAUUUUUUUAUAUUCAUCUAAUAAUGGAGAAGAUUCAAACCUUC